CUUGUGUUAGGCUCCCAGUUGAAUCUCAAAGCAGAGAAACACUCAGGGAGAUGGAACAGGUAUGAGAAGCUGUGACCAAGCUUCUCCCCUCUGAUUUGAGGCACUGUCUGCCUUCAUCUACUCUUAGUUUACAGACUCUACUGAUUCCAGUCCUUGUAAUCAGUUGUGUCCUUUCUUUGCACAGUAUUUUUGCUUUAGGGCCCUAAAAGACAAUGUGACCCACGCCCAUCUCCAGCAAAUAAGAAGGAAUCUUGCUCACCAGCAGCAUGGUGUCACGCUGCUGCACAGGUUCUGGAACCUCUGGUGGUCUCAGAUUGAGCAGAAAAAGGAAAGAGAGCAGCUCCCCUUACUGCAUGCUGCCUGGGACCACUA
rnacentral:sRNA from 1 species